rnacentral:rRNA from 1 species
UNUUAAACGGGAAGAUCCUUNCCCGGGNUAAAUCCUGGGUGACCUCUCCAGAAACGGAUUUCCCUUCGGGGCAGCCGGGACGGUGNUGCAUGGCGGUUGUCAGCUCGUGCCUUGAGGUGUUGCGUUAAAAGGCCCAACGAGCGCAACCCCCUUGGCUAGUUACCACCACGUAGUGGUGGGGAUUUUAGCCGGACUGCCUACGCAAAUCNUGAGGAAGGUGGGGAGGAAGUCAAGUUAUCAUGGCCCUUAUGUCCGGGGCUCCCCCCGUGNCAAUGGCCGGUGCAAAGGGAAACCACCCCGGGGAGGGGGGCAAAUCCNUAAAACCGUUUCCAGUUUGGAUUGGAGUUUGCAACUUGACUCCCNGAAUNGANUANUNAU